AGUGAACGCUGGCGGUAGGCCUAACACAUGCAAGUCGAACGGCAGCACAGUAAGAGCUUGCUCUUACGGGUGGCGAGUGGCGGACGGGUGAGGAAUACAUCGGAAUCUACUUUUUCGUGGGGGAUAACGUAGGGAAACUUACGCUAAUACCGCAUACGACCUACGGGUGAAAGCAGGGGAUCUUCGGACCUUGCGCGAUUGAAUGAGCCGAUGUCGGAUUAGCUAGUUGGCGGGGUAAAGGCCCACCAAGGCGACGAUCCGUAGCUGGUCUGAGAGGAUGAUCAGCCACACUGGAACUGAGACACGGUCCAGACUCCUACGGGAGGCAGCAGUGGGGAAUAUUGGACAAUGGGCGAAAGCCUGUUCCAGCCAUACCGCGUGGGUGAAGAAGGCCUUCGGGUUGUAAAGCCCUUUUGUUGGGAAAGAAAAGCAGCAGGUUAAGACCCCGCUGUUCUGACGGUACCCAAAGAAUAAGCACCGGCUAACUUCGU
rnacentral:rRNA from 1 species